rnacentral:rRNA from 1 species
UGCAGUCGAGGGGUAGAAGGAGCUUGCUCCUUUGAGACCGGCGCACGGGUGCGUAACGCGUAUGCAACCUACCUUGAACAGGGGAAUAGCCCAGAGAAAUUUGGAUUAAUGCCCCAUGGUAUUUUGAGAUGGCAUCAUCUUAUUAUUAAAGAUUUAUCGGUUCAAGAUGGGCAUGCGUCCCAUUAGUUAGUUGGUAAGGUAACGGCUUACCAAGACGAUGAUGGGUAGGGGUCCUGAGAGGGAGAUCCCCCACACUGGUACUGAGACACGGACCAGACUCCUACGGGAGGCAGCAGUGAGGAAUAUUGGUCAAUGGGCGCAAGCCUGAACCAGCCAUGCCGCGUGCAGGAUUAAGGCCCUAUGGGUUGUACACUGCUUUUAUACGGGAAGAAACCACGAUUCGUGA